CCAGCUUCACUGAAAGCAGCUACUGUGCCCAGUCUCAGUGUGUGAAACGACACAAAGCACCUCCUAACGUGUGUGACAAUGUGCGACCGUGAUGGUGUCAUCGCGGCUUCGCUUGCAUCACCGCGCGUUGGUCCUGCAGCGCUUGCACACGCGUCCCAGUGACCCAGGAAGCCUCGGCGCCGCUCUCCCAGGCGUCCAGCUGACAGCGCUGGCUUCCUGCUGCCUCCCGUUGUCCACCGGGUCCCCGUCAGGGAAUCACCCGGCGUCCUGGACGGGAGCUUCCUCUGUCCACGUCCACGUCGGCUGCUGUGACGCAUCGAUGUCGACGAGCUGCUGCGACGGCCGUGACCUGGUUCUGUGAGUGUAACGCUUCCAUGACCUCUGACGUGUCAUUAAUCCAGCAGUGAUGUUUGGUCUCUAACAUCUGGGAGAAUGUUUCAAAUAAGUGCACGUGAGCAGCAAACAGAGCGUGAACAGCAUCAGCUUCAUCUACCGCUCGUACAGGAGGGAUCUGUGGAGUGGACGUCCACAUCUGACUCCGAGCCUCAACUCAUAGCUUUCCUUUUCAUGCCUGGUUUCCAUUUACUUAAAAUCAUGUGACUUCUGGAAAAAAAAAAACUUUGGUUUGACUUGAAUGGGGAGUUUGAUGAGAAGCUCUGAUAGCAGACGUGGACACGUUUGUUUACGAUGUGUUUGUUUCCCCUGUUGCCUUUUCUGAUUUAUCAGCUAUGACUCUGUUGUUCUUGAAAAGUAAAGGCUUAAAGGUUUUUCUCUGUGUAAAAAAGAAUCGCUGUGAAAUUGCUGCUUUAAAAUGUAACUGAAAAUUUAAAAAAAGAAAGAUGUACGUGAAGGAGGAAUGAUUCUGAAUCCCUUGUGUCCUCGUGCAUUACAGCAUAGGCGGCUGUGCCCGACCAAAACCCAAGGAUCCGGCUGAGCGAGAACAGCCGAGAGUUUCCAAACGCCGCUGCGAGUCCUGACAAGAUGCUGGUCGUGACACGGAGCCCGGGAUGUGGAUGGAGGAAAAGGGAGUGAGACUAGACCCGGAAAAACGAGAUUCCAGUCUUGCUCCCUCCUCACGGAGCAACAUACCUCUCCAAGACUUUCCCACGAGAAAAACCUCAGGCGUUUUUCGGUCCAGGUGAAAGCCAAGAAAAGAAAAAGAAAUGAGUCAGAGUGCAGAUUCAUA
rnacentral:lncRNA from 1 species